rnacentral:rRNA from 1 species
UACAGGGGGUGCAAACGUUGCUCGGAAUCAUUGGGCGUAAGGCGCACGUAGGCGGUCUGUUAUGUCGGAUGUGAAAGCCCUCGGCUCAACUGAGGAAGUGCAUCCGAAACUGGCAGGCUAGAGUACUAAAGAGGGUCGCGGAAUUCCCGGUGUAGAGGUGAAAUUCGUAGAUAUCGGGAGGAACACCGGUGGCGAAGGCGGCGACCUGGGUAGAUACUGACGCUGAGGUGCGAAAGCGUGGGGAGCAAACAGG